rnacentral:piRNA from 1 species
UAACAGAUUAGUUAGGAGUCUUUGUGGCGC